GGCGGGGCCAGGCGCGCCGGGCGGCGAUUGGACGAGAGGGACGGUUUAAAAAACCGCGGGGGCGCUCGCCAUUGGCCGCCGGCCGCUGCGCGCCUCCUGAUUGGGCGGAGCGGGAUGCGGCAGCGUGGUUUAAAAAUACAAAGGCGGCGGCGGGGCGCACUGCGAGCCGGGGCGCGGCACCGCGCGGGUCGCGAUGGGCCGGGGUCUGCCUGGGGCCUCCCCGCCUUGCCGCGCUAGGCCCGGCCCGGGGGCGCCAGGGGUGAAGCCUCAGCGCCCGUUCGUUCCCCCAGCUCCCCCCUUGGCGUCCCUUCAGGCGCACCCAGCCCGCGCCGUUUCUCGCGGCUCUGCCUUUCCAGGCGCAGCCCUAGCGCUGGGGGUGCCUCCGCCCGCCGAGGAUGUGGCGUCCUCGGGGGAGCUUUAAUCGCGUUAACCUCGUUCGGCGGCGGCGCUGAGAGCCUCCAAGGGGAGCGGCGAGGAGCCCUGAGCUCCCUGAGGGCGCUGACUCGCAGCCACGGGGCCGCUCAGUCCUAAGGCCCUUCCGUUGCAGAUCUGCUCGGAUCUCGUUGAACGAGAGGCAUUUGCCGGGCCCGGCCCUCCCAGCUCGUUUUUCUCCCUGCUGACAAAGGCGUGUUCGCACAGGGCAGCUUGCUAACGUGGUAACAAACGCCUCCUUCAGCCCCUUUCCACGCUGAGCUUUAUGUGUUUGCUUAAGCUGCGGCCCUGAGAGGCAGGGUGUAAACUGGAAGAAAUUGCUCAAAACCUUCUUGAGAGAAAGGGAGGUUGGGAGGUGAACUGACAGCGCUGCGCAGAGUAUUUCCUUCGCAGAUGUCAAAGCCUGUUAGAAGCCAGUUAUCUGAUAUCAGCUACCUUCUGGGGCUAUUCCUUUUGAUGGUGUUUUACCUACAAACCAAGCUUACGCUUAUCUUCUAAAAUAAACAUUUACACAGGGGAUAUUCUGUGUUCUGGCAUCAGCUGUGUAUUCCUGUAAGCCAGCCCACUACCUCGCAGUAGUGAAUUAAUGGUCUCAGGUCUGUAGUACUGAGCUCUGUGGAGGCCGAGUCACUUCCCAAGGAGUGCUUUUAAUUCUUGAUGUAGCUUUAGAAAUGUUUUUACUUCAUGUAUUACCUGGAAAGUGCUGUUGUGUUGUUUUUAGUUGACAGAUGGUUACUCAUUUACUUUGUGGUGAACCACCUGUAUGUGACAGUUUCUUGCAGCGUGUUUUCUGGUUAAUAAAGUAGUUUUUGUAACAUAGUAGAACCUUAGAAUGCUAAUAUAUGCAGAAUGAAGCAUAAUACAGCCAUUAGCAUGUCUAAUUUUAAAAACAUUUUUUGUCCACCAGACUUUUCUGUAUCAUACCAUUCAAACAAGAAUAAAGUCAUACUACCUCCUGCAUCUUUUACAGCCACAGAAAAAUGUAGAUUAACUCCAUCAAAAUCAGUUUUACUUUUGUUUCCUCACUAAUGCGGGUGAAAGAAAAACAAAGUGCUCCACCAGCUUUCAGGAAACAGGUCUCUCGAUAGCAGUGCUUCUAAAAUAGUGUGUCAUGAUCUCUGGGAGCUUGUAAGCAAAAAGUAAUCACAAUAGUUACAGGCACUAGAAAUGAUUUUUAAUGGUUUAAACCAGAGGAGAAUAUUUUGAAUUUUACCCUUGUAAAUUGGGUGUUCUAUCUCAGCUCUUAAACAAAACAAAAAUCUAUAGUUUUUUUAUUAUUCUUUCUUUUAACAUCAGUGUAGUAAGUUCAUGGAAAAACAUUAUUUUGGAACGGUUGGUGGAAAUUAUGGGAUAUAACUGCAGGGAGACUUCCUCUACCGCAUCACUUUUUCUUAUCUACCCUAAGAAAACGAUUGUGGAAAAGCAGGUAGAGUAAGAAAGCGUAAUUACUGUUAUGGGGGAAAAAAUGAGACCUGUCUGCCUUCCAAAUGAUUUAAUCAUAUGUUUUAAGGAUGUUGUUCAAAAUUAGGUUCUUCGUUCUCUUAAAACAGCCUUUUGCUACGUUCUCUUCUCUGAAAAAGAAAGCUUUUUGUACAACUAAAUAUAAACUUGGAGGGUUACAUCAUGCUGUGUCAUGCAGCAUAGGGCAGCAUAAGAAACCAAACAGUUGUAGUAUUUAACAUCUGUCUGUCCUCCAACAAGGAAGGCAGUAUUGAGAAUUUUUCAUGCUUGAAUAUGAUACUGGAAGCUUUCUACAGCAGUGCUGAUGCUGAAAGCCCCACGCAAGCAAGCUGAUUUUUAAAAACUUGUCAGUUCCAAAACUGUGUCUUUCUACCAGAAUCCUCAUACUUGGAAAAGCAUUUCUCUGUGCGCCUAGCUCCACAAUAAACUGUCACUUUUUUUUUUUUUUUUUUCUCAUUACACCACACUGUUCCUUUACAGACAAAACCACAAAUUCUGUCUCAAGAGAUUCAGUCACUGUUGCUUUUCUAAAGCAGUGAUCUAUGCAGUAUUGACUUUGGUCAGUCCGUGUGGUUAAUUUAUUAACCACAUGUGGAUGACAGUUGUGGGGAAGAAGCACAAACUCCAGGACUUCAGGCUUACUUCUAGUUGAAUAAUUCAGCUCUGAAAUGACUUAAGUUUUAUAGCUCCCUGGUUUCAAGCCAUUUUGUGUUUCUAAUCUAUGCCAUAAUUGCUAUUUUGUGUGCUAUUGUUGAUUUCACUUAAUCUUCAAUAAACUGUGUGUGAGGAAAGAUAAGCAAUGUACUGACUGGAAACAGGUUACAGAGCUGAGAAACUGGUUUAAAGAAAAGUGUGUUAUGAAAUGACAAAAUGAGCAAAAAUGAACAAAAGUGAGCAAUUAUUGUUAAUGCUUUACAACAUACCGUAUCUCUUGUUUUCUGUGACCAGCGUGUUCAGGUUUCUGAAUAUAUGCGGUUCUUAUUGUGAAUAAAGGAAUGAAGACCUUCUAUUUGAAUCUUAAUUAAAACCUCAGUCAACAGAUCCGUUGCAUUUGGGACAGGUAUGGUUCAGAUGGGGGAGCUGCAAACUACAGUUGCAAGACCUUAACUCAGACCAAACUUUUAUUCUGAUCCAAGUCUAUUAUAUGGUGACAACAUCAGUUAGUUUUAAUUCAUUCAUUUGGAUAAAGUGGCUCCCCAGAGACUCUGCUAUUACCUGAAUGCCUGUAUUGAAUAUACGAUAAUGUAGCAUUAAUGGCAGCGAAAUUGAAAAGUAAUCGUUCUUGAUUAAUUGCAGUCUGCAACUGAAAUGGUCCCCCUCUUAUGGACUUGAGAAAUCACUGUUUACCGGAUGAAUAAUGAAAAGAAGUAAAAGCACAAGCAAAUGAAGAUAACUUUUGGAUGAAACCACAGUGAAAGAUGUGUUGCAGGAACACACGUCGUUGACAUCUGGCUUGGGGAAAUAAAGUAGUCUGAAGUAAAGCCUCCCAAGUGUAUGUGAGUUUCACUCUCCAAAUAUAUUCUUACUGUGCUGUUGCUAAUGUAGACGUUGCCAUGGUAAAAUCAUUUUCUCUUCUCUGUUAUUGCUGGCAAAUAGUGCUGUCAUGGGUCAUGGAAAUGAUCACAGGAUACACAGGUAAUCUGUUGAAAAAAAGAAAUAAAAAUACCUAGGAAAAUUUGAAAUUGUUGAUUCAAUGAUUAGUCUCAUUUUUAGUCAUGGAUCCUGUGUGAUUUUCCAUCAGCUGAUGACAUAAAAUUACCAUUUCUCUAGAAGACCCCUUUGUAUACCCUGCACUGUACCAUUAUGUUAAGUGUGUUACGGUAACAGGAAAGGAUAUUUCAGAGCUUUUGUGCUACUAGAAAAUGCAUCUGCCUAUAAUAACAGUCAAAACCUAAAGCUUCUACUCAACAGACCAACUCCUGUGGAAAAAGUAUUAGGGAUGUUCUGUAAUAUAUCCUUGGUUCUGUGAUUAAUCCUCAUUAUUUAGUGCGUGAGGCUAAUUAGAAACCCUCUGUAAUUACUGGCAGGACUAAAGCCCUACUACAAACAAAAAAAAAGAAAGACGGAAGUGCAGUUAUGCAUUUGAAAAAAAUAAAUAAGAUUUCAAAUGCUGUUCUUUGAAACUGAACAACUUCUUAUUCAGUGCCAUUGAGAAACUAAAUUGCAGCUUGAACCAUGCCUCCCUCUUUUUUUUUUAAUUAAAGGAACAAUCCUUAAAAUCUGUAAACUCGACUUCAGUGUAAACCUUUGAAAUAAUCCAUUUUGAUGCAAGGCUUAUUACUGCUGGAUCAAACAUGCUGCAGUUCAUUGGCUUGAUUUGUGCAAUUUUUGUUGCUGUGUUUUAUAUUAAUAAUUAGCAUUUAUUUUUAAAAAUUAUUGUAAUGUGUACAAAUAUUAAAAGCAUACAAUCCCCAUUCACUUUUUCCAGCAGUUAAAAAAAAAAAAAAAGAAAAAAGAAAAGUACUUUAUAACUUUUCUGACAUAAAUUAUGAUGAGAACAUCUAAAAUUUUGUCCCACUCACUUGUGGAGAGAGUUAAGGAUCUUAUAGUGCCUGUGGAUAGCUGUAAUAGCGAAAUCAGGUCUCAUCAUUUGUGUUUAUAAUGUUAAUAAACAUUAACAACCAAACACUUAGAUGAUAGAAAGCCAUAAUAUCUGUUUAAGCAUGAUAAUGUUGAAACUAAAGGGUGGGAGUCUGUUUUUCUUUGUAUUCUUUGCUUUAGAGUAUGUCCUUGACCUGAUUACAAACUUAUCUUUACAACUGUAAAGAUUGGAAGCUUUAUCAGUACGAAAGCUGAGAAGCUGAGACUCUAACAUUAUCUUCCAAGAGAACUGAGAUUUUGAGAGCAUUAAAGAUGAAGCAGGAAAAGCACAAUCUGGUGAUUUCUAAGGAAGAAGUGAUGCUUUUGAUCAACCGCUAUAUACUGAACGAUCGAUGACAGUAAGUACUAUAGAAAUGUGGGAAACACGGUACCCUGUGUGCUUUGCAACUGCAAUAAUAAAUUCUGCUCCUUGGUCAUGUUUCGUGAAAAAUUCUGUAAAACGUUGCAUCAGAUCUUUUCCUCAUAAUAUUUCCCAGUUAAGGAUUUGUUUUCAAGCAACGUUAGCUAAAAACAAGUCUCAUUCAAAACAGUCAUUGCACUUCAGUUUGUUGGAGUGUCAGCCUGUAUCUCUGACACAGAAUGAGCUCUGCAGGAAGUCAGAGAAACAAUUAAACCCCAAAGCCACAUGUAAUUUUGCUCAUUUUAUUUCAUAAAAGUAUCUGUUACUAGCACCAGACUCUAGUUUUUACUGACUUGAGACCAAAUAAUUAUCCUCUAAAGAAUUUCUAAUCCAUGCAUUGUAGAUUUAGGUGGAUGAAGUGUUCACCUGCUCUCCAGGGGCACUUCGUGGCUGCUGUUAACUUCAGCAAGAGUGAAGUCAGACCUAGAGAUGCUUAUAACUGUACUGCAAAGAUGAGGAUACUGCAACAGGCUACAGGGCCAUGAAUGUUUCCCACUUUCCUUUCUGUAAAAAGAGCCCAUAUCAGAAGAGGUAUAAAGGAGCAGAUGGUGUAAAGGAGCCUUGUAGUUUCUAGGAACCUAUUAAAAAAAUACAAAAAUUGUGUAAUGUGCAUUAUUCAAAACAAAAAGGGAUUAAAGAACAUGUCAAACACAUGUUCUUUAUGUAACUGAGAAAUUGUUUCACAGAAUGUAAGAUGGUAGCAACGAGUACUGAGUGCUCUUUUCUGUAGUAUCAAGAGAGCUGACUCAGCUUUUAAUUUCUUUUCAAGGGAUUAAAAAUAACUCUUACAAUA